rnacentral:rRNA from 1 species
UACGUAGGGGGCUAGCGUUGUCCGGAUUUAUUGGGCGUAAAGAGCGUGUAGGCGGCCAGGUAGGUCUGCUGUGAAAACUCGAGGCUCAACCUCGAGACGUCGGCGGAAACCAUCUGGCUAGAGUCCGGAAGAGGAGAGUGGAAUUCCUGGUGUAGCGGUGAAAUGCGCAGAUAUCAGGAAGAACACCCGUGGCGUAGGCGGCUCUCUGGGACGGUACUGACGCUGAGACGCGAAAGCGUGGGGAGCGAACAGG